CACCUCUCAGGGUCACACCCGGAGAGUUUCCAGUAUUCUACCAGUCUCAACCAUGGGAGGGAGAGCCAAGCAGAGGCAUAUCCAUUCCAUUCCUAGCUGGGCCAGUGGCUAGUGAUUGGAAGGUGAUUUGCUACAAGU